UGAGGAAUUUUCCGCAAUGGGCGAAAGCCUGACGGAGCAACGCCGCGUGUGUGAUGAAGUCCUUCGGGAUGUAAAGCACUGUCCAAGGGGAAGAACAAAUGACGGUACCCUUGAAGAAAGCCCCGGCUAACUACGUGCCAGCAGCCGCGGUAAUACGUAGGGGGCGAGCGUUAUCCGGAUUUACUGGGCGUAAAGCGCGUGUAGGUGGUUGCGUAAGUUGGUUGUGAAAUCCCUCGGCUCAACCGAGGAACUGCAAUCAAUACUGCGCGGCUAGAGUAGCAGAGAGGAAAGUGGAAUUCCCGGUGUAGUAGUGAAAUGCGUAGAUAUCGGGAGGAACACCAGUGGCGAAGGCGACUUUCUGGCUGCCAACUGACACUGAGACGCGAAAGCUAGGGGAGCGAACGGGAUUAGAUACCCCCGUAGUCC
rnacentral:rRNA from 1 species